AAUCAUAGAGGCAGUUUCCCCCAUACUGUUCUCAUGGUACUGACUAAGUCUUACGAGAUCUGAUGGUUUCGUAAGGGGUUUCUCCUUUCACUUGGCUCUCAUUUCUCUCUUGCCUGCUGCAAUUUAAGAUGUGCCUUUGCUCUUCCUUUGCCUUCUGCCAUGAUGAUGAGGCCUCCCCAGCCAUGCUGAACUAUAAACGAUGAGGAAAAAUUGUUCUUUAUUAAAGAGUUCCAACUAAUAAAUACUGGAGGGCUGAUAGAAUUAGGAAAUAUCCAUUUUGCUAACUGUGAUGAAAUAAUGGAUCCAGGAGGUGAUCAUCAACGGCUGCUAAAACUGUGAAGACUGAUGAGAAACUCUGCAAUGAAGGGAUCAGAUAGACAUCACCAAAACCCACUAAUCAGUACUAAAGUCAGCAAACAUAUACAAUUGGGAAUCCUGGGACUCUAGAUUUGCUAUAUAGGUAGUGUAUUCAAUACCUAUGAGAGAUUCUUAUUACACACAUAAAUACAUCCUUUGGACCUAACUACAUGACAUAAUGAUAAACAACACGACAAAAAAAUCAACAAAUAAAGAAUUUAGGACAAUCUACAGGUCGAAUAAUUCAUCUUGACUUGCAAACAGAUGACAUAAAAAUCUUGGGUGGAAAUAGGAGAAAGGGAACUGUCGUGGAUCACAAGAAUCUUAGGAGACUACCAACCAAAUGCAGUGGAUGAAGCUUAUUGCAUCUCAGUUUAAUCAAACCAACUGUAAAAAUGCAUUUUUGAGCCAAUAAGGUGAAUUUGAGUGUGGCCUAUUUAUGAGAUGAUUUUAUACAUUAAUUAUUAAUCUUAUGUGUGAUAAUGACAUUAUGAUCAUGUUUCUGUAACAGCCUCUUACCUAUUAAAGACACAUAAUCAGGUAUCUGGACUUGAAAAGAUGUGAUAUCUGGGAGAUGCUUUAAAAAUAUGAGGGAUAAACAAAAGUGGUAGGCUCUUGAAGAUUGCUGAAGCUGGAGAUGGGUAAUGGGAGUUAUCUUCUGGUGUUCUUUUGUGUUUGAACUAAAAAUAAGCAAAACAUCUGUUUCUAACACAUAGCAGAUCUUAACGAAAGAUUUCUUAUCUUUUUAUUUUUAACCCAAAUUAUGUUUUGGAGGUCAGACUUUCUCCCUGGCUAAUGUUUAUGAGCAUGGGGGAACCACUCGCAGCCUGGUUUGGG
rnacentral:lncRNA from 1 species